rnacentral:rRNA from 1 species
CUUUAGUGGCGGACUGGUGAGUAACACGUAAGCAACCUGCCUAUCAGAGGGGAACAACAGUUAGAAAUGACUGCUAAUACCGCAUAUGCCUAAGCAUCACAUGGUGCAAUAGGGAAAAGAGCAAUCUGCUGAUAGAUGGGCUUGCGUCUGAUUAGAUAGUUGGUGGGAUAACGGCCUACCAAGUCGACGAUCAGUAGCCGGACUGAGAGGUUGAACGGCCACAUUGGGACUGAGAUACGGCCCAGACUCC